AUCUACAGCCAUGCUCCUUUGAACAAGCCCAAUCCUGGCUGAUCUCAGAAGCUAAGCGGGGUCGGGCCUGGUUACUACUUGGAUGGGAGACCACCUAGGAAGACCGGGUGCUGUAGGCA
rnacentral:rRNA from 1 species